UACGGAGGAGGCGAGCGUUGUUCGGAAUCACUGGGCUUAAAGCGGGUGUAGGCGGAGUGGCAGGUGUCUUGUGAAAGCCCUCGGCUCAACCGAGGAAUUGCAGGGCAAACCGCCACUCUUGAGGCAGGUAGGGGCAAGUGGAACUAUGGGUGGAGCGGUGAAAUGCGUAGAGAUCCAUGGGAACGCCAGCGGCGAAAGCGGCUUGCUGGGCCUGUCCUGACGCUGAGACCCGAAAGCGUGGGUAGCAAACAGGAUUAGAUACCCGCGUA
rnacentral:rRNA from 1 species